rnacentral:rRNA from 1 species
UGGGGAAUUUUGGACAAUGGGCGAAAGCCUGAUCCAGCAAUGCCGCGUGUGUGAAGAAGGCCUUCGGGUUGUAAAGCACUUUUGUCCGGAAAGAAAUCCUUGGCUCUAAUACAGUCGGGGGAUGACGGUACCGGAAGAAUAAGCACCGGCUAACUACGUGCCAGCAGCCGCGGUAAUACGUAGGGUGCAAGCGUUAAUCGGAAUUACUGGGCGUAAAGCGUGCGCAGGCGGUCUGCUAAGACCGAUGUGAAAUCCCCGGGCUCAACCUGGGAACUGCAUUGGUGACUGGCAGGCUAGAGUAUGGCAGAGGGGGGUAGAAUUCCACGUGUAGCAGUGAAACGCGUAGAGAUGUGGAGGAAUACCGAUGGCGAAGGCAGCCCCCUGGGCCAAUACUGACGCUCAUGCACGAAAGCGUGGGGAGCAAACAGGAUUAGAUACCCUGGUAGUCCACGCCCUAAACGAUGUCAACUAGUUGUUGGGGAUUCAUUUCCUUAGUAACGUAGCUAACGCGUGAAGUUGACCGCCUGGGGAGUACGGUCGCAAGAUU